UUAUUCAAAUACAAGGAACAACCACAGCCGGCUCCAAGUCACGUGGCCGGGUCACAUGGUGCCGAGACACAGAAACCGGCUGGCAGUCAUUAACUAAUGCUUACUCCCAGGGAGAAAACGCAGGUUUUAAAGACACGAGCUCUGUUUUUGUAAACCACGCAGCACUGCAAGAGAAGAUUACAGAGUCACCGAGGGCUGGGACCCCUUCUUGGAUGUCUUUGAAUCUCUGCAUACCAGUCAGCACAGUGCCGGCAAGGGGAAUCUAAUGAACGUGGCACAUGAAAGAGACUGGGCUGACCAAGACAGACAGGAAGCUCGGCUAAUUAUGUGAAAUGCCUAAAGUCAUCAGAAGGCUUAGAAAACGUAAUGCCAAUCCUUCCUGCGAAAGAAAUGUGCACAGCAGAAAACAAAACCCAGAGCAGAAAGCAGACAGCAAGGGCAAGUUGGGACAGGAAAUGGAGAAGAAAUUGGGAAAGGUCGCGCAGAAUGAGGUCAAGUUCCGGGGGACGGCGGAGCAAAGCACGCAUGAUGUGCGAGCGCUAAUUAACGUGGUUAAAGAGAACAGCGUGGAACAGUAAAUGCCAGCAGAGCAAGGAGCCCAGCUGCAAGGCGGACCCAACGUGAAAAAGAAAAGCAAUCCUUGCGCCACACAACUCCUUUUAUAAAGCAGCAAAUUCCCGUAAAUCUGUUCGCCUCCCGUUGUGGCUGUAUAGGUGAGGAGUAGGAUGGCCGAGUGGUGGACCUCCCAGCAUGUGUUACCCCUAGAAGGAGCUCCUGGCGCCCGCUUAGGCCGCAGCCUCUUCUGACAUCCUUUUCCUCCGCGCGUGGCUGUAGAUGCCCAUCCGGGAGCAGGAAAUGAUUGCAUGCUUGGGCUUUUCUGCAGUUCGUCUUCUAAAGAGAGAAACGAAACAAAGCAAAAAAGAAAGCUGGAUGUUUAGAGAUAUUCUAAAACCUUUUAAAGGCGUGCCGUUCACCGAAGCAAGGAAAGGAAGGUGGAGGCUGGCCUUGCAGAUUCCCUGGAGCGGGGAUAUGGAAGAAUUCAUCGCGGGCUGGUUUCUGUGUAUUCUGCACUUCAAAGUGACUUUACAGGUUUAUUUGGGGAUUCCACUCCAGCAGAGAAAGGAACACCUUGCCAACUCUCGACUGUACGAUCCAUUUUUUGAAGAGAGAACACCACUCUGGGAGCGCUUAAGAGAGCAGGCACGGGGGCCAAGGCCACGCACAAUCACUCACUGUCCAGAUCAAAUCGUGGCCUUUUUUCCCCCCCUCUCCUGGAGAAUCAGCUGUUAAACAUUUACCAGCACGCCGCCGUGUACAAACAAGAUCCAAGAGGAACCAGUUGACCAGCUAGAGUGAACAAAGAGUUUAGCCCAAAACUGUGGGCAAGUAAGCAGAUAAGGUUAAUUGUAUGAUGGAUCCCUUCAUGAAUGACCGCCUGAGGGGAAUGCUGCCUUAACAUGACUCAGCAAUUCGUGCCA